AUACGGAGGUGGCAAGCGUUGUUCGGAAUUACUGGGCGUAAAGGGCGCGUAGGUGGUUUUGCAAGUCAGAUGUGAAAGCCCCGGGCUUAACUCGGGAAUUGCAUCUGAAACUGCUUAACUUGAGUCCUGGAUGGGGUAGUGGAAUUCCCAGUGUAGCGGUGAAAUGCGUAGAUAUUGGGAGGAACACCUGCGGCGAAGGCGGCUACCUGGACAGUGACUGACGCUGAGGCGCGAAAGCGUAGGGGAGC
rnacentral:rRNA from 1 species